AUCAGCUCUGUUUGGGUGAUGAUGAUAACCCCCGUCCUGGGGAGAUUCCAGUGAAAGUCUCAGACAGUGGAACUGGUGGAUGAUUUUGGACAGAGGCGGUGCUUUGCUCUCCCUGUUCUGAGGGGAUUUGUGAAGAAGACGGAGCUGUGCAAGUCUCAGGUCACGGUUGAAUUUCAGGACAAAUGCCAGCGUUUAUAAGCAUGCUGAAAAAAGACUGUCUUGGGAGCUAAGGUUGCAUCUUGUAUCUGUGUGGAUCCUGGGAAAGAAGUCCCGUUCCUGUUUGGAAGAUUUAAGUGGUGUUGCAAGUGAAAAGAGUGGCAGUGGAAGGGACAAACGGGGAGCAAUAAGUGGCCGGAGGUGACAGGAUCUUCACUUGGAGGAGCUCAGUUUCUUCUGGAGGAAGAGGGCAUGCGCUGCUCAAGAGGUCUGAUGAAACAACCAGCGCUUGAAAUUUAGCAUCCAGACUUCAGAGUGGGUUUUGCAAUGCUAUGGGAGAUGCCCAUACUGCAGAGCUCUGGGGCUGUGCCUGAGCACUAGACUGCCUCCUUCAAUGGGAAUCUCAAAGAGCAGGAUAUGCCUUGGACUUACCUGCCUCCCGCAGGACUGCAGACAGACACCUCAGUGGGACAGGCUCUAGACUCUACUGGGAUUCAGAUCACACGUGGCUUCAUCAUAAAACCGGAGGAGCAGUGUGCCUAGCUGCUGUUGGCUUAUCUGGAGCUGUGUAGGAGAACAGCUCCAGAUUAUGGUUGGACUUGAUGAUCCAAUGGGUCCUUUCCAACCUUGUGAUUCUGUGAUUCUGUGAUUCUGUGAACAGUUUUCCAACACCCGUGACAGUACCCACCUGCUGGCCUCAAGCUCUAGAGGUAAAACACUGUAUGUAGCACAGGUCAAAAUCCACCAGCUUCCCCAGGUUCUCACUUGCCAGGACAUUUGCACCUCCCUGAGUUAAAAGGCAGCUGGAGAACGUGCAGGACAGCCUGUCCUGGCAUCCUGGCCCAGUGCAGUAGCAAGGAGCUAUUUGAAAAGCAUAUCACAAAUGGACGGUACUGCAAACCCAACAGCCGUUUGGCCAACACAAGAAGCACACUUUUGACUCGCCCGUGGUCAUCAGCGCAGAGGGACAAAACAUAUGAAGAGGGAAGACACCACAGGAAUACUGCUUUUCCUAAAGUCCUACGAUCGUAUCAUGGCCAUGCAGACAGGACCUUGGCCCUCUCCAGAAGGACAUUUCUGGAGAUGUUAGCCCAACAGCUCACCACUCCCAGCCCACAGAAGGAGCAUGAAACUGGUAUGUACAGGAGCCAGGAAGAGAGGACCAUUCUAAGACUUGACCUUUCUAUGAGCUCGUCUGUUUGACGUCGUAGAGAAGCCAGUGCACCUCUUGUGAUCGUAACUGUUGCAAAAUAUGCAAUCUCAAUAGUGAAGCAGUCGGAAAUCAGAGAAGCCGAUGCCCUGGGCUGUGAGACCAGUGAGCUGACCACGACCAUGCACUGCUGCUUGGCUCAGAUCUGCACUCGAUUAACACGAAAGCUGUCAACAAGAUACCAGCAGAAGAGACCUCAGGGAAAGGUGUGACCCAAAGCAGGUGAUGUGUAAGUGCCAGUCAGACAACCUGGCAUCCAGGAGCUGACAGGGCCUGUGCAGAGAUCGUGGGGUUAAAGGCCGUCAAGGAAACCCUUCAACGGGGCAGCGGUACCUUUCCAGAGCAGGGUCGGUGUGAUUUGCCUCUGCUGCUGCACGUGUUCAGGGCAUGUGGGCUGGAAACCCAGGGCAGACAUUUACGGGGUAAAAAAAAUUAGCCACACCUGGAAACGAGUCCUGGAAACCCACGGACUCUGGUGGAGCCUGCUGAGAGCCAGGGCUCCUCACUGCCUCUCUGGGGCAGCCGGCACAUUCGGGGAUGGGCAAAUAGCUCUGUUUCCACCAUGCACUUCCCGCACCACAGGUGCAUCCCAUGUUGGUCAGGACUUUCUGCAUGGUUUAAUACUACAGAUGACUGUGACAACAAGCAAAAGCUGUAAAAUGCAACUUGCCUGGCUCCAAGUGCUCAGGUAUGAACUCUUCUGGUACCCUGGUCCUCAUCUUCAGUUCAACACACCCUGUCCCAUCUGAGAACUGAAAUCACAGCAGAAUGACCUGUUUCUACCCUUUCUCUCCCCCAACUUAUCUCAUCUUUGUGGAAUGUGGUACAUUGAGCUCAUUUCCUUCCUAUCUUUGCCAUAUAAAUAGGCUUCUGAGUGUGGCAUGAGAUGGAGAAGAGAGGAGGUGCUCACCAAGUGAGAAGAGGUACUGCUUGAAGUGUUCCUGUCUCUGCAAAGCCUCUAGGUUGGAAAGAGCAAGUAGUGAGCUCCAUUUCACAGUGUGGUAUGAAAACAGCUCCGGGUAAGCUGUGCUGCUGGUGGAGUAACACACUGGAGCUGCCUUUUCACCUUGAUGGGGACGAAAUCAGAUUUCCUGGCAGACAUAGAGGGUCUCUUCAUGGUCACAAGACCAUAAUGCCUGAACCUUGAUAAUGCAGCUUCCACACACCAUGAGGCUGCUCCAAAGGGAUGAACUGGCUUGCAGUUCUCUGUGCAUUUUACUGUGCCAGGCACUUCCCAGCCUGUGCAAGGGGGCACAAGCCAAAGCGUUUUUCUCUGCUGUGAGCAAGGAGGUGAAGAGGCAUGAAAUGUGAAAGAUGGUGAUUGGAAAGUUCUGCCAGUCUAAAUAAAACUGUUUUUCAAGCUUCAUGCCUUAUCAUC